UUCUUCACAGAUACCUUAAAUUAGGAAGAAAAUGCCUUUGGUUCUUGGUUCUACUAUUGGCUUCAAAUUCUUAGGCAUGCCAGACCCUACUGAACGUCUUGACACAUGUCCUUUCUUCUCUGAACUGGCCCACAGGCAUGAUAUAAACAUUAGCUGUUGAAUAACCUGAUAGGCACGGAAUAAACAGCCUCAAAAGAAUGGACUCAACCCAAACUGGGGAACCCAGGUAGUGGGCUUGAGAAGCAAUUGUGAAGAAGGAAGUUGCUGAGUGAUCACAGACUUACCAAAGACAGUGUUUUGGCUCUGCGUGGCUAUGAUAAUGAGUUUUGUGAAUGAAACAGCAGGCAUGCUUUAUUUUUUGUGGUUCUUUACCAGAGUGGAGUUAACCAUACCAAAAAGCUAAUCAAUCCCACAGAGCAAAGUAGAGGAGCUAUGAAGGCCAAAAAAGUCCCAAAGUCAGAAUGAUCCUUCCCUUUCCCAGACUACAGCAUCAAAGAUUUAGACCCUAGACCUGGAUCUACUCUUUACCAAGCCCGAACCCUUUGGGAAACCAAUGAACUCAACUUCUCUGAGCCUCUCUUCCCAUUUGUAGUAUGUACUGCAGUACUCACACUAUCAUCAGUGGGAAUAGUGGGCAUGUCAUGAAGAUCUAGUGGCAUGAUGUGGGUGAGAGUGAUGACUAUGAGUGCUAAGUGCUACACAAAUGGAAAGGGAAGUUCCUAGCUACUCUAUUCAUUCAAAAGUAAGUGUUCACAUUGGAAUGCUAAAAAAAGAACCUAUGACAGAGAAGAGACUGUCAGUACUAGCCAGUUACUCCUCAGCUGCUCUGUAAUUCCCCUAUCCCAUCUGUAGUUAGAGGGAAGCCAUGUUUUAGCCAGCAAUUGUGAGAAGAGGUGAGGUGUGUCCCUCCUAGGAGAGGUAGGCAGGCAGCCGGCACCCCCUCCAUGUCUCUUCCUUGCUCUGGAGACUUUGGAAAGCUACAUUUUCCAGAUGGUGUAGUUAUAAGAUGGAGGAAGAUGGUUGAACUUACAUGCUACUUUAUGUGAAUGAGAAAUGAACAUUUAUGGUGUCUAGCCCCUGAGAUCUUGAGGGUUGGUCUGUUACAGUUAUGCUUAGCAGUCAUUACCCUCAUUCAGGACAGAAGUUUUGGUCAGUAAGAGACAGGCCACAUCUAUUUCAGAGAAUCACAGAAGCUUAUAUCAACCUCUCCUCUCAGGAAUUUUCUGUGAGUUGAGUUCUACCCAUUCUGCUCGAGGUUUUAUUUUGAUUGGAAAUCUACUGUCUUAGUGGGAAGGAGACAAAUCAUUCUAGUCAAAAAACUUCCUUUUGCUACAAAAUGCAUUUAUUUCCAGUCAGACAAAAUUCUUGAACUGUAUAUUCGGGUACAUAUUAUAAGGUCAUCUUUGAUAUAUGCCCUGUUUAUAAGAUCCAUUUCUAAUUAUUAAAGUGAAUAUCAAACACACAUCUUUGCAUCUUAAAACAUAAAUAAACUGCUAAUGUUUAUAAGCCACAAAUCUGGUCACUGACAUGAGUGGCCUGCAAUUCUUCAGUGACGAGCACACAGCGAUAUAGACAAGAUCAGAUUCCCCAGGUAGGCAGGCAGCAGGCACCUGUAAUUCGCUCGCUGACUGUGCUGUUGUGGCAGUGACCCUUCUUGUGAAAAAAGAGUUAUGUGCAGACAAAAGUGUGACAUAUGCAACAUGGAGAGGCAUUUCACAGAAUGCAAACACCAUUCAGGUAAAUUAGUAGACUCCAGAAUGAAUGAAAGCUUCAUGAAUGCAAACCUGUUGUUUACAAUACUGGGUAUUGUGGCACCUUUUCACUGGACACUUUAAUAAAUAUCUA